CGUGGGGCGGGAGCGGGGAGCGGGGGCGAGGGGGGGCGCAGGUGCCUUUGCCAAGGCUCUGAAUGGCAGAGGCUUUUCAGUUUCACGUGAAGCUUGUGAUCUUUUUUUGUCUUGGUAGGAGAACGGGCAUUUUUAAGGAAUCAUUAUUUGUACAUAAAGAAAUAAAAGGUAAAUCCAACAGCCCAGAGACGCUUGCAUUUCAGUAGAAAUGGACUUUCUCGGGUUAAAAGGUGCUGAAAGAGAUCCCACUCAAUCACUCCUGAAUUUCCAGAAACAUAGGCAUUUGUCCAUGUCAAAAUUAUCCACUCAACGGGCAUCUCUUUGGCUCCACCCUCCAGUUUCAGAGUGCCCAAAUGGCAAAAGGCAGCCAGCUGGAUUGCCAAAUGCUCCUCCUCCACUCCUGGUCCUUCAUGUUCCUCUAAAGAAGACCUCCCAGUUCUCUUCUGCCUUGUUCGUGACCCAAAAGAGGCCUUUUAAUGGAAGUGUUCCUAGCAGACCUCCUCUUGGUCUUCUCCAUCAAUUACUAACUGUGACUCCUGCCGCUCCAUAGGAUAAAUGGCGAUAUUGGGUGAAUAGCUCAGAUACGUUUAUUGAUCUGAAUAUCAGGGUGUUAUCAAAGUCUACUGGAUUGUAUCACAGAUUUAGGGCUCUAAUUUAAUGACAUUUCUGAAAGAGCGAAAUACCCACAUCCCUGUCUCUCCCCGACAACUGGCAAAAACGGGGAACGCAGCUCUGAACACGAUCAAAUCAAGGGUGUCGACUCAGAGUGAGAUCGUACAGCUUCAAAAGUAAUGUCGAUCUGCUCGCAACUUCACGCAAACCCAGCAGAGCCCCCAGCAGGACCCCCACGUACCCGCCUCUCAAUCCGGAGUUCGGGACGGGGGAGCACCCCUACUCGGGUCCUUCCCGCCGGCCGCCCGGAAAGCCCGGAGCGCGGAAGCGGAGCGACCCUCGGCAGCCGCGGGACGGGCAUGCUCAGUAGGCCCGCAGGUCUGGUUUCACUCGGAAGCCAGCCGCGGACCCCGCCCCCUCCCGCCCCGCACGGGCGCCCGGAGAAGCGGACAUUUUAUCCUUCUCUGCCAUCCGCUCCCUCUUUCGUGUCCUUCGCCCCCUGUCUGAGUCCUUCCACCUCUCGCCCAUCGGGGUCUGGGGACAUUAACUUGAAGAAAAUCAGCUGUUUGCCAAGAAAGGAGGGCUUGGAUGAAAGAGGAUGGAAGGAGGCUUGUCUCACUUGCAGGAGGAGGAAACGCAGCAAUGCACAAAUAGUCUCUUGUCUAUCAAAGCCAGCUCCAAACAAUCAUCGUAAUGUCCAGACUUGGGGGAGAAGCAGGGGAGCCAGCGCCCGUUUGGUCAGCUCCUGAGUGUGCUGAGCGUAAAGGCUGGACACUCGACGUGGCUUUGCAGAGAGGACAGUUAACCUGACCCAGCCUUCACACGGGACUGCAUCUGCCACAGAUGAUCUAUUUCAGAUCUUGCCACUUUUCAAAUGCCAGCAAGGUAAGGAACAGAGACAACAUUUAUUCCAACACCUUUAUUUUUCUUCCCCCAAUUUUUAGUUCAAAUUUUUUCAAAGUACAAUAAAGUUGAAAGAAAAAGCAAUGAAAUCCAUGAGUUCUUCACCUAGAUUAACAGUUAUCAUUUGCUCUCUUUCUCUCUCCUCUUUUUUUCCUCUCUUACACAUUUGAGAUCAUCUAUUCUAUAUCCAUCUAUCUAUCUACCUACCUACAUAUACAUACAUGACGAACCUCUUGAAAGCAAAUUGCAGACAACUUGGUACUUCACCCUAAAUACUUUAUCAUGCAUUUCCAAAGAAUAAGGAUAUUUUCCUGCACAACACAAUCUCAUAAUCAUACCCACAAUAUUUAACAUUAGUGAAAUAGUAUUAUCUAAAAUAUAGUCCAAACUUUUCCAGUUGUUCUAAAAAUGUCUUUUAAAGCCCCCUGCCCAGUCCAAUCAAGGGUCAAGUACUGCAUUUUUGCAUUUGGUGGUUGUGUCUCUUUGGUUUCUUUUCAUUUAGAACAGUCCUCUCGCCUGAUUUUCUGUUGUUGUUGUUGCUUUUGUCUUUCAUGACACUGACAUUUUGAAAGAGUCCAGGCCAGUUGUCCUGUAGAAUGGCUCCAAUCUAGAUUUGUCAGAUCAUUUCCUUGUGAUCAGACACUCUGAAUAAACAUUCUCUGGCAAGAAUAUUACAUAGGACAUUUUGAGUAUUUCCCAUUGCAAAUCAUCAGGAUGUGUAUAACAUCAAUUUGUGGCAUUAUCAGUGAUGGUCAGUUUGACUGCUUGGUUCAGGCAGUGGCCAUCAGAUUUCUCUAUUGUAAAGGUACUUUUUACCCUUUGUAAUUUAUAAGGAAUAAAAGGAGGGUAAUACUUUGAGACUGGGAGAUAUCCUGUUCCCCAAAAAUCUUUCACCCAACGGUUUAGUAACUUUUUUUUUCUGCUUUAUCUCCCCAAAUCCCCCCUGGUAUAUAGUUGUAUAUCUUAGUUGCAGGUCC